UAAUGGCAUAAAUGAAGGAUGUGCAUAGCAAAGUUAUUGAGCCUAUGAACAUAAACUUGAUAAGGCAUUAGGUAAGGUUGCAUAACAAACCGAAGCCCAAAAGGUAAAUAUAAUGCAGAAGGUGUAAAUCAAGAGGUUGUGGAACGAAAGAUUA
rnacentral:ncRNA from 1 species